rnacentral:sRNA from 1 species
GUUUUUUUUUGGUUUUAA